rnacentral:rRNA from 1 species
GACAGAGGUGCCAAGCGUUAGGCGGAAUCACUAGGCUUAAAGCGUGUGUAGGUGGAUUUGUAAGUACCUUGUGAAAUCCCAUGGCUCAACCAUGGAACUGCUCGGUAUACUGCGAAUCUUGAGCCACUUAGGGGCUACCGGAACAAAUGGUGGAGCGGUGAAAUGCGUAGAUAUCAUUUGGAACGCCAAUGGUGAAAACAGGUAGCUGGGAGUGUGCUGACACUGAGACACGAAAGUCAGGGGAGCGAACGGG